rnacentral:lncRNA from 1 species
AAAAAGAGAGCAAAAACCGAAAAUAAGAAAGGAAAGGGAAGGAAGUAAGACUAGCACUUCUAAUUUACAUCUCAACUGAAGAUCUUCAAAUUUUACGGUAAGAUACUUUCCAUACUUAAGAGUUAUGAUCUUCGUGGUAAUAUUUAUGCUUAAACUAUGCAUGAAAAACCACAAUAUGAUUACGGUGGACAAGUCCACAAAGUUAGAUAUCUAUUUAUGCCUUAGGACAAGUUCGAAGGGCACUGGCAAGCCGGAAUGUGCAAGUAUGGGUUUGAUUGCAUUCUUUUGUGUAGUAUUAUCAUUAUAAAAAUCCAAGCAUGGUAUCUUACUGAGUAUUUCUUAUACUCAUAGUAUGUUAUGCUAAAUUUUCAGAUCCAUGAUCGUUUGAAUUGAUGGAAGUUAGUUGGCUUACGCGAUGAUGGAUUAAGGACAGAUGCUUUGUACCGAAAGUUUUCUUUUGUAUGUUUUGCUCGAUGACUG